CAUGAACAAGAAUAUAUUAACGAAAAACUAGUAAGAAAUAAUUAAAAAUAAGGCUAAAUUAUAGAAAACUCCCUUAUAAAUAUCUAUUUUUUUACUUUCUCUCCAAGACUUUCAAAAACCUAUAUUUUGCCUGCUUAAAAUUUCAAAAAUAUUUUUAGAGGGGUACGACAUUAAUGGAGAGGGCAAAAUAACCAAAUUAUCCUUACUUCUUCUAUAAAAAAAAUAAAUUUUUAAUAUAUUUUUGUUAUUUUGGGGAUUUUUAUAAUCCUAAUCUAAUUCAAAUCUCACAAUUUUAGGGAUUUUUUUCUAACUCGAACAUAUCUAAAAAACUGACUAAAAUAAAUUAACAAACAAAAUAAUUCCAAAAAUUAGAAAAAAAUUAAAACCUAAAUGACUCGAUCAAUUUUA
rnacentral:lncRNA from 1 species